CAAGUCGAGCGCCCAGCAAUGGGAGCGGCGGACGGGUGAGUAACGCGUGGGAAUUUUUCCUGGAGUACGGAACAACCGAGGGAAACUUCGGCUAAUACCGUAUGAUAUCGAGAGAUCAAAGAUUUAUCGCUCUGGGGUGAGCCCGCGUCAGAUUAGGUAGUUGGUGGGGUAACGGCCUACCAAGCCUGCGAUCUGUAGCUGGUCUGAGAGGACGAUCAGCCACACUGGGACUGAGACACGGCCCAGACUCCUACGGGAGGCAGCAGUGGGGAAUCUUGCGCAAUGGGCGAAAGCCUGACGCAGCCAUGCCGCGUGAGUGAAGAAGGUCUUAGGAUUGUAAAGCUCUUUCGCUCGUGACGAUGAUGACGGUAACGAGAGAAGAAGCCCCGGCUAACUUCGUGCCAGCAGCCGCGGUAAUACGAAGGGGGCUAGCGUUGUUCGGAAUUACUGGGCGUAAAGCGCGCGUAGGCGGUUUUGCAAGCCAGAGGUGAAAUGCCUGAGCUCAACUUAGGAAUUGCCUUUGGGACUGCGAGGCUUUGAGGACGGGAGAGGUGAGUGGAAUUCCCAGUGUAGAGGUGAAAUUCGUAGAUAUUGGGAAGAACACCGGUGGCGAAGGCGGCUCACUGGCCCGUUUCUGACGCUGCAGCGCGAAAGCGUGGGGAUCAAACAGGAUUAGAUACCCUGGUAGUCCACGCUGUAAACGAUGAGUGCUAGGCGUCGGCAAGCUUGCUUGUCGGUGCCGCAGCUAACGCGUGAAGCACUCCGCCUGGGGAGUACGGUCGCAAGAUUAAAACUCAAAGGAAUUGACGGGGGCCCGC
rnacentral:rRNA from 1 species